rnacentral:rRNA from 2 species
UUCCGGUUGAUCCUGCCAGACCUGACUGCUAUCGGAUUGAUACUAAGCCAUGCGAGUCAUUGUAGCAAUACAAGGCAGACGGCUCAGUAACGCGUAGUCAACCUAACCUAUGGACGGGAAUAACCUCGGGAAACUGAGAAUAAUGCCCGAUAGAACACUAUAUCUGGAAUGGUUUGUGUUCCAAAUGAUUUAUCGCCGUAGGAUGGGACUGCGGCCUAUCAGUUUGUUGGUGAGGUAAUGGCCCACCAAGACUAUUACAGGUACGGGCUCUGAGAGGAGUAGCCCGGAGAUGGGUACUGAGACACGGACCCAGGCCCUAUGGGGCGCAGCAGGCGAGAAAACUUUGCAAUGUGCGAAAGCACGACAAGGUUAAUCCGAGUGGUUUGUGCUAAACGAACCUUUUGUCGGUCCUAGAAACACCGAUGAAUAAGGGGUGGGCAAGUUCUGGUGUCAGCCGCCGCGGUAAAACCAGCACCUCAAGUGGUCAGGAUGAUUAUUGGGCCUAAAGCAUCCGUAGCCGGCUCUGUAAGUUUUCGGUUAAAUCUGUACGCUCAACGUACAGGCUGCCGGGAAUACUGCAUAGCUAGGGAGUGGGAGAAGUAGACGGUACUCGGUAGGAAGUGGUAAAAUGCUUUGAUCUAUCGAUGACCACCUGUGGCGAAGGCGGUCUACUAGAACACGUCCGACGGUGAGGGAUGAAAGCUGGGGGAGCAAACCGGAUUAGAUACCCGGGUAGUCCCAGCUGUAAACUAUGCAAACUCAGUGACGCAUUGGCUUGUGGCCAAUGCAGUGCUGCAGGGAAGCCGUUAAGUUUGCCGCCUGGGAAGUACGUACGCAAGUAUGAAACUUAAAGGAAUUGGCGGGGGAGCACCACAAGGGGUGAAGCCUGCGGUUCAAUUGGAGUCAACGCCGGA